GAUGAAGAACGCAGCGAAAUGCGAUAAGUAAUGUGAAUUGCAGAAUUCAGUGAAUCAUCGAAUCUUUGAACGCACGUUGCGCCCGCCAGUAUUCUGGCGGGCAUGCCUGUUCGAGCGUCAUUACAACCCUCAGGCCCCCGGGCCUGGCGUUGGGGAUCGGCGGAGCCCCCCGUGGGCACACGCCGUCCCCCAAAUACAGUGGCGGUCCCGCCGCAGCUUCCAUCGCGUAGUAGCUAACACCUCGCGACUGGAGAGCGGCGCGGCCACGCCGUAAAACACCCAACUCUUCUGAAGUUGACCUCGAAUCAGGUAGGAAUACCCGCUGAACUUAAGCAUAUCAAUAAGCGGAGGA
rnacentral:misc_RNA from 1 species